UACGUAGGGUGCAAGCGUUAAUCGGAAUUACUGGGCGUAAAGCGUGCGCAGGCGGUUGUGUAAGUCAGAUGUGAAAUCCCCGGGCUUAACCUGGGAAUGGCAUUUGAGACUGCACGGCUAGAGUGUGUCAGAGGGGGGUAGAAUUCCACGUGUAGCAGUGAAAUGCGUAGAGAUGUGGAGGAACACCGAUGGCGAAGGCAGCCCCCUGGGAUAACACUGACGCUCAUGCACGAAAGCGUGGGGAGCAAACAGG
rnacentral:rRNA from 1 species